ensembl:lncRNA
CCCCACGUGACCACUCCACGUGACCACCCCACGUGACCCCCCCGUGACCCCGCCCACCUGGCUCUCACUCUCAGCUCCGCGCGGGGCGGUCGGGGGCGGAACCGCAGCACCUGUGGGGGAGGGGCGGCAGUGGGGCACAGCGACCCAUAAGUGCCCCAUAGCGACCCAUAGCAGCCCCAUAGAGACCCAUAAGUGCCCAAUAGCGACCCAUAAAUGCCCCAUAGCGACGCAUAAGUGCCCAAAGCGACCCAUAAGUGCCCCAUAGCGACCCAUAACUGCCUCACAGCGACCCAUAAGUGCCCCAUAGUGACCGGUAACUGCCCCACAGCGACCCAUAAGUGCCCCAUAGAGACCCAUAACUGCCCCAUAGAGACCCGUAAGUGCCCCACAGCAACCCAUAAGUGCCCAAAGCGACCCAUAAGUGCCCCACAGCGACCCAUGAGUGCCCUUUACUGACCUAUAUCUGCCCCAUAGCGACACAUAACUGCCCCACAGCGACCCAUAACUGCCCCACAGCGACCCAUAACUGCCCCAUAGUGACCCAUAAGUGCCCCACAGCGACCCAUAAGUGCCCCACAGUGACCCAUAAGUGCCCCAUAGAGACACGUAACCGCCCCAUAGAGACCCAUAACUGCCCCACAGCGACCCAUAACUGCCCAAAGCACCCCAUAAGUGCCCCAUAGAGACACAUAAGUGCCCAAUAGUAACCCAUAAGUGCCCCACAGCGACCCAUAACUGCCCCAUAAAGACCCAUAAGUGCCCCACAGUGACCCAUAAGUGACCCAUAGCGACCCAUAACUGCCCCACAGCGACCCAUAACUGCCCCAUAGUGACCCAUAACUGCCCCAUAGCGACCCAUAACUGCCCCACAGCGACCCAUAACUGCCCUAUACUGACCCAUAACUGCCGCACAGCAAGCCAUAAGUGCCCCAUAUAGACCCAUAAGUGCCCCAGAGUGACCCGUAAGUGCCACAUAGUGACCCAUAAGUGCCCCAUAGCGACCCAUAACUGCCCCCCAGUGACCCAUAACUGCCCCACAGCGACCCAUAAGUGCCCCAUAGCGACCCAUAACUGCCCCACAGUGACCCAUAAGUGCCUCAUAGCUGCCCCAUAGCUGUCCUACAGCUCCCCCAUAGCGAUCCCAGCCCCAUAGCUGCCCCAUAACAGCCCCACAGCAAACCCAGCCCCAUAGCUGCCCCAUAGCUGCACCAUAGUGGACCCAGCCCCACAGCUGCCCUAUAGCAAACUCAGUCCCAUAGCUGCCCUAUAGCUGUCCCACAGCAAACCCAGCCCCACAGCUGCCCCAUAGAUGUCUGACAGCUCCCCCAUAGCAAACCCAGCCC